rnacentral:rRNA from 1 species
AACGAACGCUGGCGGCAUGCCUAACACAUGCAAGUCGAACGAGAUCUUCGGGUCUAGUGGCGCACGGGUGCGUAACGCGUGGGAAUCUGCCCCUUGGUUCGGAAUAACAGUUGGAAACGACUGCCAAUACCGGAUGAUGACGAAAGUCCAAAGAUUUAUCGCCAGAGGAUGUGCCCGCGUAGGAUUAGCUAGUUGGUGUGGUAAAGGCGCACCAAGGCGACGAUCCUUAGCAGGUCUGAGAGGAUGAGCAGCCACACUGGGACUGAGACACGGCCCAGACUCCUACGGGAGGCAGCAGUGGGGAAUAUUGGACAAUGGGCGAAAGCCUGAUCAAGCAAUGCCGCGUGAGUGAUGAAGGCCUUAGGGUUGUAAAGCUCUUUUACCCGGGAUGAUAAUGACAGUACCGGGAGAAUAAGCUCCGGCUAACUCCGUGCCAGCAGCCGCCGCGGUAA